CCUACGGGUGGCAGCAGUGGGGAAUAUUGGGCAAUGGGCGCAAGCCUGACCCAGCAACGCCGCGUGAAGGAAGAAGGCUUUCGGGUUGUAAACUUCUUUUCUCAGGGACGAAGAAAGUGACGGUACCUGAGGAAUAAGCCACGGCUAACUACGGGCCAGCAGCCGCGGUAAUACGUAGUGGGCAAGCGUUAUCCGGAUUGAUUGGGUGUAAAGGGCGUGUAGGCGGGAGCGCAAGUGAGAUGUGAAAACUCAGGGCUCAACCCUGAGCAUGCAUUUGAAACUGUGUUCCUUGAGUGCUUGGGAGGCAAUCGGAAUUCCGUGUGUAGCGGUGAAAUGCGUAGAUAUACGGAGGAACACCAGUGGCGAAGGCAGACUGCUGGACCGUAACUGACGCUGAGGCGCGAAAGCGUGGGGAGCAAACAGGAUUAGAUACCCGAGUAGUC
rnacentral:rRNA from 1 species